AUCUCUGUAGCUCAGUCGAGAAAAGAGCACGCCGCUCCGAACGGCGAGGUCGCGGGUUCGAAUCCCGCCAGGGAUA
rnacentral:tRNA from 1 species